rnacentral:rRNA from 1 species
UACAGAGGGGGCAAGCGUUGUUCGGAUUCAUUGGGCGUAAAGGGUGCGUAGGCGGCGCGGUAAGUCGGGUGUGAAAUCUCGGAGCUUAACUCCGAAACUGCAUUCGAUACUGCCGUGCUUGAAUCCGGGAGAGGGAUGCAGAAUUCCAGGUGUAGCGGUGAAAUGCGUAGAUAUCUGGAGGAAUACCGGUGGACGAAGGCGCAUCCUGGACCGGCAUUGACGCUGAUGAGCGAAAGCCAGGGGAGCAAAGCGGG